UGUGUCUGCUGCUGAAGAGAGGAGCCAAUCAGUACGCCGUCGACGAGAGGGGACAGGACCCGCUGGCCAUCGCCGUGGAAACAGCCCACGCUGACAUCGUGACGCUACUGCGGAUGGCGAGGAUGAACGAAGAGAUGAGAGACUCUGACGGCGUCUUUGGAGCGGGGGGAGACGACGAGACAUUUCAGGACAUCUUCCGAGACUUCAGCGACAUGGCGUCACACGACCCGGAGAGGCUGACCAGACGGCAGUUCAGCCGCGGAUGCGAUGAGGAGGAGGAGCAGGAGAAGGAGCAGGAGGAGGAGGAGGAGGAGGAGGAAGAGGAGGAGUGAUGAACAGCCAACAGUGUUAAAAAGAGGUCAGAGUGACAGAGACUGAGAGCAGGAGCCCGUUGGACUGCAGACACUCCUCCCUGCAUAACCACUGCGUUACCACGGUAACAGAGCGGUCAUUGAUCGUAGCCUUUAGAGGAGUCGACUGACCGAUAACACGUUAGGAGAUUACUCAUCAUAAUAAUUUCUGCUGUGUCACUGCGGCUGGAGGACAAACUCCGUUUAGUCGUCAAUUAAUCUGCUGAUUAUUCUCUUCAUUGAUAAUCUGGUCAAAUAUCCACACUCAGCACGAGUUCUAAUUUUACCUUUUAACCCUCUGAUACCUGAGCAGAUUGGCCUUAUUUCCUCAAAAACGUGGGAAUAUAUUUAUAUUCAGGUCAGAUCAUGACGAUUUUAUUAGGAUCAGCAUCAGGUUUUAAAGGGUUAAUGCAGCACAAGAAAACUGAUGUCAAACCGGGUGUUAAAGGGUUAACUGAUCAUUAUGAAGUAAAUAUUGAUCACAAAGUUUCUGCACAUUUUUAAUAAGUCUUAAAGGGCAUUACAUCGCUAAUGUAGAAAUAAGGUCUUAGUUGGUAUUAAAAUGUCCUAAAAAUGAAUAUCUCAGAAGUCUUAAAAUGACAAACGAAAGUCAAACUUUGUUUUCUGGCGUCAUUUAAGAGAGCGGCGUGCACACGAGGCUCCGAGGAUUUUAUGCAAAAAGUUUUUAAACUUACGAUGGUGGAAACGCAAAGGCACCAACAAAUGGCAGAUAUUUCCCCCAAAAAGUAUUUUUUUAUGUUACAUUCAAUAAUGUAUAUAAAAAAAUGUAAUUCUAAAUAACGGAUGUCAGUUCAUGUUUUAGUUAUCGUGAAAUUGGUCUUAAAUUUCAUUCAGAGAGGCGUUAAAAAAGUUUUACUUUCCUAAAGUAAUUAUGCAGAAUAAUUACAUUUAAUAAUUACAUCAGCAGCGUCGAGUUGUUCCCCAUAAGCUUCGUUUUUCACGUUCACUGAACGUCAUCU